GACGAACCGUGCAAACGUUGUUCGGAAUCACUGGGCUUAAAGGGCGCGUAGGUGGAUGAGCAAGUCUGUGGUGAAAUCCCCCGGCUUAACCGGGGAACUGCCGUGGAUACUGCCCAUCUCGAGGAGGGUAGGGGCGUCUGGAACUAGCGGUGGAGCGGUGAAAUGCGUUGAUAUCGCUAGGAACUCCGGUGGCGAAGGCGACACGCUGGGCCGUACCUGACACUGAUGCGCGACAGCAUGGGGAGCAAACAGG
rnacentral:rRNA from 1 species